ACGGGGCCCGCACAAGCGGUGGAGUAGUGUGGUUUAAUUCGACGCAACGCGCAGAACCUUUACCUAGGCUUGACAUCCCGGGAAUUUGCUGGAAACAGUGAAGUGCUUUCAUUAGAAAGAGCCCGGUGACAGGUGCUGCAUGGCUGUCGUCAGCUCGUGUCGUGAGAUGUUGGGUUAAGUCCCGCAACGAGCGCAACCCUCGCCUUUAGUUGCCAGCAUUCAGUUGGGCACUCUAAAGGGACUGCCGGUGUCAAACCGGAGGAAGGUGGGAUGACGUCAAGUCCUCAUGGCCUUUAUGUCUAGGGCUACACACGUACUACAAUGGCAGGUACAAAGGGCAGCGACACAGCGAUGUGAUGCGAAUCCCGAAAAGCCUGUCUCAGUCCGGAUCGGAGUCUGCAACUCGACUCCGUGAAGUUGGAAUCGCUAGUAAUCGUGGAUCAGCAUGCCACGGUGAAUACGUUCCCGGGCCUU
rnacentral:rRNA from 1 species